UGGGGAAUUUUGCACAAUGGGGGAAACCCUGAUGCAGCGACGCCGCGUGAUUUAGAAGGCCUUCGGGUUGUAAAAAUCUUUUUUACGGGAUGAAAAUGACAGUACCGUAAGAAUAAGGUCCGGCUAAAUACGUGCCAGCAGCCGCGGUAAUACGUAUGGACCGAGCGUUGUCCGGAAUCAUUGGGCGUAAAGGGUACGUAGGCGGCCUAGUAAGUUAGAAGUGAAAUAAUAUAGCUCAAAUAUAUAAAGCUUUUAAAACUGCUAGGCUUGAGAGGUGGAAGGGAAAGUGGAAUUCCUAGUGUAGCGGUGAAAUGCGCAGAUAUUAGGAAGAAUACCGGUGGCGAAGGCGACUUUCUGGUCAUCAUCUGACGCUGAGGUACGAAAGCGUGGGUAGCAAACAGG
rnacentral:rRNA from 1 species